GCCUCGCCCGCCCCUGCUCAGCCCCGCCGCCUCCUACCUGCAUCUGGUGGCUCCUGUCAGGCUGGCUCCGCAGGCAGCAGGUGGAACAGACCAGAUUGAGAGGCCUCUGCACCUGAUCUCAGGACCAGCCCUUUAUCAACCAGUCGUCAAAGUAUGGGUAAAUUGGGACUCCCCGACAUUGCAGGAACCUGAUCUGGGAGUUCUCCAGGUUCUAGAGUGCAGAGGAGGCGGAGGGCGGAAUGGCUUCCUGGCCUGCUGAGGAAUGUGAAGACCCAAAGAGCGGAGGGUGGCUUGGGAGUCUUUAAGGCCAAGGAGC